rnacentral:SRP_RNA from 1 species
CCGUGCUAGGCGGGGUACUAGGGGUGCCCUCUUCCCGAAAUCCUCUUCAUGCGGGGCUGACUUCCCCGCCCGAGGGCGUGAUGUCGGUGGCUGGCGCCGGUUCGAUCGAUGUUGAUGACGGGGUCCUGGCGUGGCGGAGCACCGUGAACCGGGUCAGGUCCGAGAGGGAGCAGCCCUAAGCGGUCCGCUCCGGGUGCGGCGGGAUCGCCCCGACGGAGUCGAUCGACCGGAACGCACCAGCGACGGACCACCCGACGGCGGGGGGCACGG